GUACCUGUGGGGAGGAGUCUGCUCAUGCAGGUAUAGUGGAAAAGGGACAAAACUUCUAACAUUUGUCAUUUGUUUGCAUUUGCCUCUCAACAGAACUGCGUCUUCUGAAACUGCCCAUCUGCCCCUCUCUGCAGCCGAUGCAGCAGCAGCCAGGACCUCCGCAGGGCCAUAUGCUCUUUACUUCACCCUCCGUUUUCCAAGAAUUUGGAAGUUCCUGUUGCAGGAUUCUGCAUGCGUAACCAAAAGCCAUUCUAAAUCUCCAGUAAACCAUGACAACAGAGAGCUGAGGUACGGCUUCUUGAAUGGGUAAGUGAUUGCACACUCCUGAAGCACGAAUGUGGAGGAGAGACAAAACAACCAUCCAGUCUGCACAGAUUUAAAUACUGGUGCAGCCUAGCCAAAAUGGAGAAGGGUCCCAUCUCCUGAGACUAGGCACAGCCUGGGAGACCAUGUAUUAGACCAGAAACCUGUUAGUGAGAACUUCGCUAGCAGAAAUACUUCUUCCCACCAGUAAUAUCAUUGCAACAAAGGCCAGCAACACCUGUGUGCAUGUAAGGAAUCCCAUGGCCACAGUUAAGUUUCCUUUCAUCAUUGUCACUCAACCCCAGUAUCCCUGCUAGGUGCAAUUUUCCUGACAAAAUUUUUUCAACAGAAAACGGAUGUUCAGGUCUACCAAACCAGUCACGAGUUUUCUGAAAUCAAGUAAACAAUUCGAGCUGAGAAAAAAAAAAAGGUAUUUUGUUCAAUAGUGUAUAGUUUUUUGUUAAAACAAGUUUUCUUUGUAAAUGGUCUGUUUUGCUGUUUUAGAGAGUAAAAUAAGAAAACAGUAACCCUCCAAAAUGAAACAAAACAUUUAUUUGACACAGAAGAAAACUAUUCAUCCAUUUCUUGGUUCAUCCAGCAGAUUGAAAAAAUCAAUUGUAUGUAUAUAAUCUUUGUGUUAUCCAACUUCUUCUUCCCAGUGCAAAACAAAAGGAUUAUAGAUGCAGAAAUAAGGGAGGAAACAGAGAAACUGAAAGGGGGAAAACAUCCUGCAUUUGUCUUAAAGCCAAAUAUGAAUUAAAAAUGCAGGCAGUGCAUGUAGUCCCCCAAGGGAGAGAUUUACUUCUAAUUAAUAAUAUGUUAGUGCCCUAGCCCUCUGCAUUAAAACUCACCCUAGAUUAAUCCUUCUGUAACACUGUAGCUAGAACCUCUAAGAAUUACCCCAGUCCAAUCCCAGAUUUACUUCUACUGUGAUUACUAGAAAGGUGGAGAGUUUAUUUUCUUCCAUCUACUGGAUUGAAAAGAGAAUUGUCCCAGAAAAUCCUGUA
rnacentral:lncRNA from 1 species